UACGUACCGUCCAAACGUUAUUCGGAAUUACUGGGCUUAAAGGGUACGUAGGCGGCGCUGUCAGUCGGGUGUGAAAUCUCAGGGCUCAACCCUGGAACUGCGCCCGAUACUGCAGUGCUUGAGGGAGACAGAGGUAAGCGGAACUGAUGGUGGAGCGGUGAAAUGCGUUGAUAUCAUCAGGAACACCAGUGGCGAAAGCGGCUUACUGGGCGUCUUCUGACGCUGACGGUACGAAAGCCAGGGGAGCGAAGGG
rnacentral:rRNA from 1 species